UUGCCUAAUUCCUUAAAAGGAAUUGACACCCGAUAAACAACACAAAAAUAAUAUUUACUAAUUCCAUAAUAAUUACUAAACAAAACAAAUUAAAAAAAACAUUUCAAUAAACAAAAUAAACCACCCAAACAAAUAAAAAAUAGAACAAAUAAAAUUUUAACAUAAUCAAAUCGAGAAUCACCAUAAAAUCCACAAAAAUAAAAUACAUAACACAGAGUUAUAACUAUAAAACAGAGAGCUAGUCCCCCCCAAUCUUAACACCAAAUAAAAAGCCAUAAACCAAUAAUAAACUUUAAAUAAAAUACAUGAAUUGAAUUCAUUUCUUGAAAAACCAGAAACCACCAAAGACGA
rnacentral:rRNA from 1 species